rfam:Helianthus annuus linkage group 2, whole genome shotgun sequence.
GGUUGCGAUCAUACCAGCACUAAUGCACCGGAUCCAUCAGAACUCCGCAGUUAAGCGUGCUUGGGCGAGAGUAGUACUAGGAUGGGUGACCCCUGGGAAGUCCUCGUGUUGCAACCC